CGGCAACAGCUCAAAUUUGAAAUCUGGCCUCUCGGGGUCCGAGUUGUAAUUUGUAGAGGAUGUUUUGGGUACCGCCCCGGUCUAAAUUUCUUGGAACGGGACGCCAUAGAGGGUGAGAGCCCCGUCUGGUUGGAUACCGAUCCUCUGUAAAGCUCCUUCGAC
rnacentral:rRNA from 1 species